CACGUGCUCGUCAACUCCAUGCCGGCCGCUCCAAGCGCCCCUGCUUCGUGUCUUCAAGGCAGGCGCCGAGAUAGCCUUUGCAGCGAGCUGUGGUGUGUGGACUCUGCGGCGAGAUGGGAUUCAGAAUCCUUUUCCGUGAUAGCACAUCCAAGGAAGGAAGGAGAUUGAGGUUGGCACCUCCUGAAGGCAUGCAUGCUCUUCACCGAGAGAGGGAAGGGCAUCUUUUUCUUGGGUUGCAGUUUCCACCUUGUUGUUGGGUGAGAGCUCUUGUGGAUAAUCAGACAUGGGGUGCAUGGCAAAAUUAGGACAGACUGAAGGCAGCAAAUUCCGCGUUGGCCGUGCACUUUGAGGAGAAGACAUUGUCU